GACGAAGGGGGCAAGCGUUGUUCGGAAUUACUGGGCGUAAAGGGCGCGUAGGCGGCUCUUUUAGUCAGGCGUGAAAGCCCUGGGCUCAACCUGGGAGUGGCGCUUGAUACUGGAGGGCUAGAGAGUGGGAGAGGUUGGUGGAAUUCCCAGUGUAGAGGUGAAAUUCGUAGAUAUUGGGAAGAACACCGGUGGCGAAGGCGGCCAACUGGACCAUUUCUGACGCUGAGGCGCGAAAGCGUGGGGAGCAAACAGG
rnacentral:rRNA from 1 species